CAGUGUGAGGUAACCCUACUAGAUGAAGAGUUAGAAAUCUAUAGUUAGGAUAGCAGCAUGGAGAGAAAUUGAGAUGUUGGAACAUAUCGACAAACUUAUCGAAAGGAUAAGAGCAAAUUAUCAAGCUGCAACGAAA
rfam:Orientia tsutsugamushi str. Ikeda DNA, complete genome.